rnacentral:other from 1 species
UGGACUCUGCGGUGUUCGUAUUAAUCCUUUUAAUUCAACCGACAAAGUAGAUACGGGACAUCUAGCCGUUGGCAGUGGAUAAAAAGCCUUCACUGAAAGGACUUUAGAAGCUGUCACCAAGACACCCACCUUAUUUUUAGGCGGGUAUGAAUUAAAAGGGGGACGGCAUUGUGGAGUUUUU